GUUUUUUAAUAAAUUUGUUUAAGAAAAAUAAUUUUCUACUAGUAAAUUACGUUUACUUCUUUAAAAGUUAUUUUAAAAAAAUUUAAACAAAAUUACCGAUAAACAGAUUCAGAAGAAAGAGGAGUGUGAGUUGCGUGGUCAGGUCAGGGAUGGGUCCCUGUAUCUGCUCCUCCCAUGCUCAGCGUCUCCCCUAUGCAGCAAAUCUAAACCCUAAUUCUUCUAUUCUCCGUCGACGCGCACAAUUCAUCAGCUUCGCCUCGAAUUCUUCUCCACCUCAAGACGAGGAGGCCACUGCCAAGAAAUCGUUUGCCGUGGCGACCGGCGAGCUGUUUCUAGGGCUGGCGACGCGCCUGAUUAAGAGCCGAAACAAGGGAAGCAGCAGCCUCGCAGAAGAUUCGGGUUCGGUGGGCAUGUUUGAGAAUAAUUCUGAGGAGAGAAUCGGAGCGGUGGUGGAGGACGAGAUUGAUCCCGACGUGGUUUGGGAGCAAAGAGUGAAAGACGUGGAGGCGGAGCGCAAUAGGUAUAGCCGCCUCGUCACCAGCCCUGGCUUUAGUUUCUCUGCCGCUGGACUUCUCUUCCCUUACCAUCUUGGUGUCGCUCAAUUUCUCAUUCAAAAUGGUUACAUUAAGGAAACAACACCGUUAGCCGGUUCCUCAGCUGGAGCUAUAGUUUGUGCUGUGAUUGCUUCCGGAGCUAGUAUGGAAGAAGCCUUGAAUGCUACUAAAAUAUUGGCUGAAGAUUGCCGCAAUCGGGGGACUGCAUUCCGGCUUGGGGCUGUUCUACGUGAUAUUCUUGACAAGUUUUUGCCAGAUGAUGUUCAUAUAAGAUCUAAUGGGAGAGUUCGAGUUGCUGUGACACAGCUUCUUUGGAGACCCCGAGGUUUGUUGGUAGAUCAGUUUGAUUCCAAGGAAGAUCUCAUCAAUGCAGUUUUUACCUCUUCCUUUAUUCCAGGAUAUCUUGCACCAAGGCCAGCAACGAUGUUUCGGAAUCGACUAUGCAUUGAUGGGGGUUUGACAUUGUUUAUGCCACCGACAUCUGCUGCACAAACGGUCCAUCUUUGGUGUUUAGAGUCCAAGGCAUUCCGAUUCCAAAAUUUCAACUUUCAAACCAUUUGCAAUCAAACCAAUUAAACCCACCAGUGAAUUAUAAAUGGUGUGCAUCUUUCUUUCUCCCAUCAAAACACUUCAUAUCACAAGCUCAUGUACCAGCGAAUUAAAGGAUUAAACCCCUUCCUUGUCCGACUAUUGCCGAGCAAUUUUUGGAUAUCAAACGGACUUCCUCAGAAGGUUCGUGUUUGUGCUUUUCCAGCAAGUCGAUUGGGAUUGCAAGGGAUAGGAAUUAGUCCAGACUGCAAUCCUGAAAACGUGUGUAGCCCACGACAGCUUUUCAACUGGGCACUUGAACCAGCCGAAGAUGCAAUUCUUGACCGAUUCUUUGAGCUUGGAUAUCUAGAUGCUUCUGUCUGGGCAAAGGAAAACCCAGUUGAAGUAAUAGUUCAAGAUGAUAGUCCUGCGUUUGGAAGUAGCAGUGCGACAUAGAUUGAUGAUAUAAUGAACUACGUAAAGAUAGUUCAUUAUGCAGAUUGAAGAUGCAUGAGGAAACUACAGACCAUUGAAUCAACGAUGUUUCCUUGAAAUGGAGCAUCAAAUUAGGAAAAAUUCACGGGGAGAAGUCCAUAAUUAAUCUCGUUUAUUCAUAUUUAUUGUACAUUGCAAUAGAAUUAGAGGAAAGGAAAGAAAGAAAAUAGUUGAGAGGUAAUAUAUUUAAAAUUUACUAGCCAGAAGGUUCAUGUUGUUGGAAAUUUAUAGUGAAUCAUAAAUAGAAUUUAUUGCUAGUUUCCCUGUGCAUGACAAAGUUAUGGUAAUUUAGUUUCUCGAA